rnacentral:rRNA from 1 species
AUUGAACGCUGGCGGAAUGCUUUACACAUGCAAGUCGAACGGCAGCACGGACUUCGGUCUGGUGGCGAGUGGCGAACGGGUGAGUAAUAUAUCGGAACGUGCCCAGUCGUGGGGGAUAACGUAGUGAAAAUUACGCUAAUACCGCAUACGAUCUAUGGAUGAAAGCGGGGGAUCGCAAGACCUCGCGCGAUUGGAGCGGCCGAUAUCAGAGUAGGUAGUUGGUGAGGUAAAGGCUCACCAAGCCGACGAUCUGUAGCUGGUCUGAGAGGACGACCAGCAACACUGGAACUGAGACACGGUCCAGACUCCUACGGGAGGCAGCAGUGGGGAAUUUUGGACAAUGGACGCAAGUCUGAUCCAGCCAUUCCGCGUGCAGGACGAAGGCCUUCGGGUUGUAAACUGCUUUUGUACAGAACGAAAAGGUCUCUAUUAAUACUAGGGGCUCAUGACGGUACUGUAAGAAUAAGCACCGGCUAACUACGUGCCAGCCGCCGCAGUAACAC